rnacentral:rRNA from 1 species
AGGAAUAUUGGUCAAUGGACGAGAGUCUGAACCAGCCAAGUAGCGUGAAGGAUGACUGCCCUAUGGGUUGUAAACUUCUUUUAUACGGGAAUAAAGUGAGGCACGUGUGCCUUUUUGUAUGUACCGUAUGAAUAAGGAUCGGCUAACUCCGUGCCAGCAGCCGCGGUAAUACGGAGGAUCCGAGCGUUAUCCGGAUUUAUUGGGUUUAAAGGGAGCGUAGGCGGACGCUUAAGUCAGUUGUGAAAGUUUGCGGCUCAACCGUAAAAUUGCAAUUGAUACUGGGUGUCUUGAGUACAGUAGAGGCAGGCGGAAUUCGUGGUGUAGCGGUGAAAUGCUUAGAUAUCACGAAGAACUCCGAUUGCGAAGGCAGCUUGCUGGACUGUAACUGACGCUGAUGCUCGAAAGUGUGGGUAUCAAACAGGAUUAGAUACCCUGGUAGUCCACACAGUAAACGAUGAAUACUCGCUGUUUGCGAUAUACAGUAAGCGGCCAAGCGAAAACGUUAAGUAUUCCACCUGGGGAGUACGCCGGCAACGGUGAAACUCAAAGGAAUUGACGGGGGCCCGCACAAGCGGAGGAACAUGUGGUUUAAUUCGAUGAUACGCGAGGAACCUUACCCGGGCUUGAAUUGCAACUGAAUGAUGUGGAGACAUGUCAGCCGCAAGGCAGUUGUGAAGGUGCUGCAUGGUUGUCGUCAGCUCGUGCCGUGAGGUGUCGGCUUAAGUGCCAUAACGAGCGCAACCCUUAUCGAUAGUUACCAUCAGGUUAUGCUGGGGACUCUGUCGAGACUGCCGUCGUAAGAUGUGAGGAAGGUGGGGAUGACGUCAAAUCAGCACGGCCCUUACGUCCGGGGCUACACACGUGUUACAAUGGGGGGUACAGAAGGCAGCUACACGGCGACGUGAUGCUAAUCCCUAAGGCCUCUCUCAGUUCGGAUUGGAGUCUGCAACCCGACUCCAUGAAGCUGGAUUCGCUAGUAAUCGCGCAUCAGCCACGGCGCGGUGAAUACGUUCCCG